rnacentral:rRNA from 1 species
CAGUAGCCGCGGUAAUACGAAGGGUGCAAGCGUUACUCGGAAUUACUGGGCGUAAAGCGUGCGUAGGUGGUGGUUUAAGUCCGUUGUGAAAGCCCUGGGCUCAACCUGGGAAUUGCAGUGGAUACUGGGUCACUAGAGUGUGGUAGAGGAUAGUGGAAUUUCCGGUGUAGCAGUGAAAUGCGUAGAGAUUGGAAGGAACAUCUGUGGCGAAGGCGACUAUCUGGGCCAACACUGACACUGAGGUACGAAAGCGUGGGGAGCAAACAGGAUUAGAUACCCCUGUAGUCCCUGUCUCUUAUAC